rnacentral:lncRNA from 1 species
UGGUGUAAUGAAGCGCCUUUCUACACUCUUGGUCCAUUGACAACUGAUAUUGCUCCUGGUUAUGAUCACAUCACCUCAGCCAUAGGGGCUGCCAACAUUGGGGCUCUAGGCACUGCACUUCUCUGUUAUGUAACGCCAAAAGAACACCUUGGAUUGCCAAAUAGGGAUGAUGUGAAGGCUGGGGUUAUAGCAUAUAAGAUAGCUGCUCAUGCCGCCGAUUUAGCCAAAGGCCACCCACUUGCUCAGACAUGGGAUGAUGCAUUAAGCAAGGCAAGAUUUGAAUUCCGAUGGAUGGACCAAUUUGCAUUGUCUUUGGACCCCAUGACUGCAAUGUCCUUCCAUGAUGAAACCCUGCCAUCAGAAGGUGCAAAAGUUGCACAUUU